rnacentral:rRNA from 1 species
GGGAUAACCUGGGGGAACUCAGGCUAAUACCGCAUACGCCCCACGGGGGAAAGCAGGGGAUCUUCGGACCUUGCGCUAUCGGAUGAGCCUAUGUCGGAUUAGCUUGUUGGUGAGGUAAUGGCUCACCAAGGCGACGAUCCGUAGCUGGUCUGAGAGGAUGAUCAGCCACAUCGGGACUGAGACACGGCCCGAACUCCUACGGGAGGCAGCAGUGGGGAAUAUUGGACAAUGGGCGAAAGCCUGAUCCAGCCAUGCUGCGUGUGUGAAGAAGGCUUUCGGGUUGUAAAGCACUUUCAGUGAGGAAGAAGGCCUUGGGGCUAAUACCCCCGAGGAAGGACAUCACUCACAGAAGAAGCACCGGCUAACUCCGUGCCAGCAGCCGCGGUAAUACGGAGGGUGCAAGCGUUAAUCGGAAUUACUGGGCGUAAAGCGCGCGUAGGCGGCUUGAUAAGCCGGUUGUGAAAGCCCCGGGCUCAACCUGGGAACGGCAUCCGGAACUGUCAGGCUAGAGUGCAGGAGAGGAAGGUAGAAUUCCCGGUGUAGCGGUGAAAUGCGUAGAGAUCGGGAGGAAUACCAGUGGCGAAGGCGGCCUUCUGGACUGACACUGACGCUGAGGUGCGAAAGCGUGGGUAGCAAACAGGAUUAGAUACCCUGGUAGUCCACGCCGUAAACGAUGUCGACUAGCCGUUGGGGUCCUAGAGACCUUUGUGGCGCAGUUAACGCGAUAAGUCGACCGCCUGGGGAGUACGGCCGCAGGGUUAAAACUCAAAUGAAUUGACGGGGGCCCGCACAAGCGGUGGAGCAUGUGGUUUAAUUCGAUGCAACGCGAAGCACCUUACCUACCCUUGACAUCGUGCGAACUUGGUAGAGAUACCUUGGUGCCUUCGGGAGCGCACAGACAGGUGCUGCAUGGCUGUCGUCAGCUCGUGUUGUGAAAUGUUGGGUUAAGUCCCGUAACGAGCGCAACCCUUGUCCCUAUUUGCCAGCGAUUCGGUCGGGAACUCUAGGGAGACUGCCGGUGACAAACCGGAGGAAGGUGGGGACGACGUCAAGUCAUCAUGGCCCUUACGGGUAGGGCUACACACGUGCUACAAUGGCCGGUACAAAGGGUUGCGAAUCCGCGAGGUGGAGCUAAUCCCGAAAAGCCGGUCUCAGUCCGGAUCGGAGUCUGCAACUCGACUCCGUGAAGUCGGAAUCGCUAGUAAUCGUGCAUCAGAAUGGCACGGUGAAUACGUUCCCGGGCCUUGUACACACCGCCCGUCACACCAUGGGAGUGGACUGCACCAGAAGUGGUUAGCCUAACUUCGGAGGGCGAUCACCAC